ACGGGGACAAAACGCCCGUGGGGCGGGGUUUUUUGCGAUUGAAGCGCCUCGCGGACGCGGAAGGAGGGCGUGAAGGGUCUACAGGACCGGAAAUCGAGGACGCUCGGACCAUGCGACGCGUACGAUUCUCCUCCUCUGAAAACCAAAAGACCCCACUGUUCGCGGGGUCUGUCGGUCCGUCUUGCAAGGUCCAAGAACAGGGCUAGCGGG
rnacentral:sRNA from 1 species